AUUGAACGCUGGCGGCAGGCCUAACACAUGCAAGUCGAGCGGUAGAGAGGUGCUUGCACCUCUUGAGAGCGGCGGACGGGUGAGUAAUGCCUAGGAAUCCGCCUGGUAGUGGGGGAUAACGCUCGGAAACGGACGCUAAUACCGCAUACGUCCUACGGGAGAAAGCAGGGGACCUUCGGGCCUUGCGCUAUCAGAUGAGC
rnacentral:rRNA from 1 species